AAACAACAAUCAAGAGAUAUGUUAGUCCAAAGACAGAAUGAGGAGCGAACUUUUACCACUUAUUUGUGUAGAAGAGUAUGGUACCAGGGGUGCAGCUGACUCUGAUUCCCGGCUUGUUCUAAUGAAAAAAGGCAGAUGAGGCACUGGAAUCCGAAUGUAAUCAAAAAUGCCAUUGUAUGAGGAUUGACCUGCAAUACAUGGAAACCAUCUAACACAACUGCAACGCCUACUUUGGAAAAAUGAGUGCAAGAUGGAACAAAGCCUUCAGUGGAACAUCUUGUCAUCUCAAAUAUUUGAUGACUUACAUACUGAUGUGAAGUUGAAGAUAAAACUCAUCUGUUGGUCCGUGAUUAUUAAAUAAAUCCGAACAUAUAUUUUAAAAGGGUAAUAUGGUAAAGGAUUUAUCUACGCUUAAAGUGGUUUUCCUAUAUUAUGGAGAGAAGAUAACUACAAAAACAGAAACAGAUGGCAUCGGCAGACCAAAUAAAGGAGGACUAUUUUGUUCAGUUCAAUUUUUAAGACUUCAGAAAAUCCGUUAAAAGGGCACAUCCUUGCAAAUGCCAUAUUGUAAACUGGGCUCUUUAAAAUGUGAAAAGGUGAAAGUGGUCUAGAGGAUAAGCCUCAAAUUCAAGGUUGUGAGUUCAAGACCUCCAAGACACUUUCUCUUGACCUCAGGAAAAGGAUGUCCAUACUUGUUUCUACUUAGGCAACAGACUUAAGAGUGAUUUUGUAAGCUUCCAGCUUGCAUAGCAAUCUGAUAAGGCAUAAAAUAAGAUACUAGCUGACUUGCAAACAGUUUUUCCAUUUGUGUUGAUUUAUUUUUCAGUCUGUUGGAAUGUUUAUUAAAAGUGAUGCGCAUUGCUUACUGCAACCAAUAUUUAUUUUCUUUAUUAAGUUAAAUUUAACGAACACAUAACAUGACUUGUGAUUUUACAGAUGCAUGUUUAUUUCGUUGAUUGUAUGAGUUUAUUUUCUCAAAUGAUGUAAUAAAAGUUAUUCUGAAUGAGGUUUUGGCAUAGCAUAGUGUCAUCAUCAUCAUUGUGUACAAAAAAAUAUUGUGAAGUCUCCCAAAAGACUCAAUGCACUUAAAAGGUCUUGGCACAGAAAUGAAAGUAAAAAUGGGAGCAAAACCUAAUUUAUCAUUAAUUUUACAUGGGAUUGCAUACAGAUGGCUCUGUAAUUACUUGACUAAUAUUAAAAAUAAAAUUAAGAGACAUGUUGAUCCAAACUGUAAUUAUUCUUGUUUGCAUUUUAUGGAGUUGGACA